rnacentral:rRNA from 1 species
CAGUCGCCGCGGUAAUACGGAGGGCGCGAGCGUUACCCGGAUUUACUGGGCGUAAAGGGCGUGUAGGCGGCCUGGGGCGUCCCAUGUGAAAGGCCACGGCUCAACCGUGGAGGAGCGUGGGAUACGCUCAGGCUAGAGGGUGGGAGAGGGUGGUGGAAUUCCCGGAGCAGCGGUGAAAUGCGCAGAUACCGGGAGGAACGCCGAUGGCGAAGGCAGCCACCUGGUCCACUUCUGACGCUGAGGCGCGAAAGCGUGGGGAGCAAACCGGAUUAGAUACCCCUGUAGUCCCUGUCUCUUAUAC